UGAGUUUGAUCCCUGGCUCAGAUUGAACGCUGGCGGCAGGCCUAACACAUGCAAGUCGAGCGGUAACAGAAAGUAAGCUUGCUUACUUUGCUGACGAGCGGCGGACGGGUGAGUAAUGCCUAGGGAUCUGCCCAGUCGAGGGGGAUAACAGUUGGAAACGACUGCUAAUACCGCAUACGCCCUACGGGGGAAAGGAGGGGACCUUCGGGCCUUCCGCGAUUGGAUGAACCUAGGUGGGAUUAGCUAGUUGGUGAGGUAAUGGCUCACCAAGGCGACGAUCCCUAGCUGUUCUGAGAGGAUGAUCAGCCACACUGGGACUGAGACACGGCCCAGACUCCUACGGGAGGCAGCAGUGGGGAAUAUUGCACAAUGGGCGAAAGCCUGAUGCAGCCAUGCCGCGUGUGUGAAGAAGGCCUUCGGGUUGUAAAGCACUUUCAGUAGGGAGGAAAGGGUGUUACUUAAUACGUAAUAUCUGUGACGUUACCUACAGAAGAAGGACCGGC
rnacentral:rRNA from 1 species